AUUUAUGUACUCCGCCUAAAAAGAAAUAAAUAAUAAAUAAAGAAAGAAAAACAAGACCAUUUUUAUCCAACCCUGGUCGGAGGAGGAGGAAUCCACAAUCUCUGUUGUUGUUGUUGUUGUUGUUGCUGUGGCGAUCGUUAGACACCACCUGGCGAUUUGUUCCGACUCGGCCAUGAACACGGAAUCAGUAGUGGAGUUUCUUGGAAACGUGCCCUUACUUCAGAAGCUGCCGAGUUCUUCUCUUAAGAAAAUCGCCCAAGUUGUUGUCUUGAAACGCUACGGGAAAGGGGAGUAUGUGAUUCGGGAAGAACAAGCUUGGGAUGGUUGCUAUUUCAUUUUCUCUGGAGAGGCUCAGGUUUCCGGACCAGACGAAGAUGAAAAUCGUUCCGAAUUUCUCUUGAAACAAUAUGAUUACUUCGGCCAUGGUAUUUCUGCGCAUGUUCAUUCAGCUGACAUAAUUGCUACCUCCGAGCUCACAUGUUUGGUGUUGCCGCGUGAUCAUUGCCGUUUGCUUCAGACCAACUCUAUCUGGCAGUCGGAUCAAGAAGUCGACAAAUGCUCUUUGGUCGAACGCAUUUUACAUCUUGACCCUUUAGAACUGAAUAUCUUCAGGGGUAUCACUCUACCUGAUGCUCCCAUCUUUGGCAAAGUUUUCGGUGGUCAAUUUAUGGGACAGGCACUUGCUGCGGCAUCAAAAACUGUUGAUUUUCGGAAGAUUGUCCACAGUUUUCAUUCUUAUUUUCUUCUUGUUGGAGAUAUCGAUAUCCCCAUUAUAUAUCAAGUUCAUCGUAUACGUGAUGGGAACAACUUUGCCACCCGAAGAGUAGAUGCUAUACAGAAAGGGAAUAUCAUCUUCAUAUUGAUGGCUUCUUUUCAGAAAGAGCAACAAGGAUUUGAUCACCAAGAGUCAGCCAUGCCCUCUGCACCGGAUCCUGAUACGCUUCUAUCACUAGAGGAGUUGCGUGAACGUCGUAUAACUGACCCUCAACUACCUAGGAGUUACCGGAACAAAGUUGCAACUGCAAAUUUUAUUCCAUGGCCUAUAGAGAUUCGGUUUUGUGAGCCUAGUAAUUCUACAAACCAGACAAAGUCUCCACCGAGAUUAAGGUAUUGGUUUAGAGCAAAGGGAAAGCUUUCUGAUGACCAAACUUUGCAUCGAUGUGUUGUGGCAUUUGCUUCGGAUUUGAUAUUUGCAAGUAUCAGUUUGAACCCUCACCGAAGAAAGGGCCUGAGAUCUGCUGCACUUAGCCUUGACCAUGCGUAUAUGAGUUUUAUUUAUUUGAUUACAUUAUAUACUGAUAGGGAGUUCCAGUCAGUAAUUAUUACUUGCUUUUACUCUCUUUUUUUUUUUUUUGGUUUGCAGGAUGUGGUUUCACCGACCUCUAAGAGCUGAUGACUGGUUACUUUUUGUGAUUGUUAGUCCAACUGCGCACAUGACCAGGGGUUUUGUCACUGGUGAAAUGUUCAACCGAAAAGGAGAGCUGGUUGUAUCGCUAACGCAAGAGGCCUUGUUAAGAGAGGCAAGACCUCCUAAACCCUCCGUGACGUCGAAGCUCUGAUUUGGCUCACUGUGUUAGUUUAAAGAUGUGGCGAAUAAAGAAAAGGAAAAGAUGUACUGAAGACAUUAGAAAAAACAUUUGGUAAUAAUAAGAUUGAUGCUACUUGUGUAUUGUUAUUAGACAAACCCCGUUUCUUUGGUAUGAUUCGGUUUUUAUGUCUUAUGAUGAUGACAUGUAUUCAUAUCUAUAAAUUUACUAUUGUGUGGUUAUGAGAAAAUGACAUUUUGGUCGA